UACGUAGGGGGCAAGCGUUGUCCGGAUUUAUUGGGCGUAAAGAGCGUGUAGGCGGCCAGGUAGGUCUGCUGUGAAAACUCGAGGCUCAACCUCGAGACGUCGGCGGAAACCAUCUGGCUAGAGUCCGGAAGAGGAGAGUGGAAUUCCUGGUGUAGCGGUGAAAUGCGCAGAUAUCAGGAAGAACACCCGUGGCGAAGGCGGCUCCCUGGGACGGUACUGACGCUGAGACGCGAAAGCGUGGGGAGCGAACAGG
rnacentral:rRNA from 1 species